AUUGAACGCUGGCGGCAUGCCUUACACAUGCAAGUCGAACGGCAGCACGGGUGCCUGCACCUGGUGGCGAGUGGCGAACGGGUGAGUAAUACAUCGGAACGUACCUUAUCGUGGGGGAUAACGCAGCGAAAGCUGUGCUAAUACCGCAUACGCCCUGAGGGGGAAAGCGGGGGAUCGCAAGACCUCGCGCGAUUAGAGCGGCCGAUGCCUGAUUAGCUUGUUGGUGGGGUAAAAGCCCACCAAGGCGACGAUCAGUAGCUGGUCUGAGAGGACGAUCAACCACACUGGGACUGAGACACGGCCCAGACUCCUACGGGAGGCAGCAGUGGGGAAUUUUGGACAAUGGGGGCAACCCUGAUCCAGCAAUGCCGCGUGAGUGAAGAAGGCCUUCGGGUUGUAAAGCUCUUUUGUCAGGGAAGAAACACCGGCUCUAACACAGUCUGGGAAUGACGGUACCUGAAGAAUAAGCACCGGCUAACUACGUGCCAGCAGCAGCCGCAG
rnacentral:rRNA from 1 species